rnacentral:tRNA from 4 species
AAGAAACUUAGGAUUAAUCAAUAAACCGAAGGCCUUCAAAGCCUUAAAUAAGAGUUAAACCCUCUUAGUUUCUG